rnacentral:rRNA from 1 species
UCUAGUGAUGAUAGCUAUAGGGUACCACCUGUUCCCAUACCGAACACAGUAGUUAAGCCUAUAUACGCCGAAAGUACUUGGAUGGAAACGUCCUGGGAGGUUAGGUAGUUGCUAGUU